rnacentral:rRNA from 1 species
CCUACGGGUGGCAGCAGUGAGGAAUAUUGGUCAAUGGACGCAAGUCUGAACCAGCCAUGCCGCGUGCAGGAAGACGGCUCUAUGAGUUGUAAACUGCUUUUGUACGAGGGUAAACGCCGAUACGUGUAUCUUUCUGAACGUAUCGUACGAAUAAGGAUCGGCUAACUCCGUGCCAGCAGCCGCGGUAAUACGGAGGAUUCAAGCGUUAUCCGGAUUUAUUGGGUUUAAAGGGUGCGUAGGCGGUCGGAUAAGUUAGAGGGGAAAUCCCGAGGCUCAACUUCGGAAUUGCCUCUGAUACUGUUCGGCUAGAGAGGAGUUGCGGUAGGCGGAAUGUAUGGUGUAGCGGUGAAAUGCUUAGAGAUCAUACAGAACACCGAUUGCGAAGGCAGCUUACCAAGCUACUUCUGACGUUGAGGCACGAAAGCGUGGGGAGCAAACAGGAUUAGAUACCCUAGUGUC